AGAUGAGAAGAUGGGACCAACCUACAACCACAGAAUGAGGAAUUAUAGAUGGAGCAUCAUUCUGAUCCUGACUCUCCAUACAGAUGUUACUCAGAGGUGCAGUUUCUGAUGGAGUUCCUGAUGUUUUAUAGACAAACCCACAGAGCAGGAGAUCCACUCAGACUCCGAGGGAGACACAAUCAGCCACGAGGACACAUCUACAACCCCUUCAGAACCUGAGAAAAAAGGUGAUUGACGGCUCAGGAAGCCACCCAUGUGACUGACAGCUAACGUUUAUCUGUCCUCCUCCUGCUCCAGUUAAAGAGAGAACAGGAGUGGAUCCCACCACUGAGAGAGAGAGACAGAGAGAGAGAGAGAGAA